UACGUAGGGGGCUAGCGUUGUCCGGAUUUAUUGGGCGUAAAGAGCGUGUAGGCGGCCAGGUAGGUCUGCUGUGAAAACUCGGAGGCUCAACCUCGAGACGUCGGCGGAAACCAUCUGGCUAGAGUCCGGAGAGGAGAGUGGAAUUCCUGGUGUAGCGGUGAAAUGCGCAGAUAUCAGGAAGAACACCCGUGGCGAAGGCGGCUCUCUGGGACGGUACUGACGCUGAGACGCGAAAGCGUGGGGAGCGAACAGG
rnacentral:rRNA from 1 species